AAUAGCAGUACCAUCUGCAAUGCAGUGCAAGCAUGCAAGAGAAAAAUGAGGUCAGCCCCACCUAGACAGGUUUGCCAUCUGACCAGUAAUAAAAAGGCACCAUGAUCAUCACUUGCCAGCAUUUAUUUCCCCAGAUCCUUCAGCCCCGCAGGGCAAUUUACCAUCACCGGGUUUUUCACUUGAAGCAGCAACUCAGAGAAGGGAGAGAAGAGCUAGAGACUGCCUCCCCUCAAGGCCACAGAACAGGUUUCAUGAUUAAACAUGCAGAGAAUCAAAUGAAGCCAGCAUACAAGACCCUCCUCUUUUUCACUGUAUCUUCGCAACAAACCCUGUGAGAGAGAAGUCUCCAGCCAAGCAAAGGAAGCAGAAACAAGCCAUGUUUUGACCAUCACAAUGCCAAAGUGAACACGAGAAAGCAAGGAAAUACAUAGCUCAUGGGUCACAACUGAGGCUUGUGUCGUUCAACCUUUUGUUGCAGCAAUGGAUAGCUAAGAGCCAAAGCAGGAAUAAAAUGUUGUCUCUCCCUCCCCUGCUUUUGUCUGUCCUCUACACUUGGGAAGCAAUGUUUACUCCCCUUGUAAGGGUGAAACUUCACCCCCUUCAGGCCUGGUACCUGGGAAUGUUUGACCCUCUUCGCAACAGCCUACACACUCUUCUCUUCAUUCAACCUGCCAUCUGCCACUUGCUUCUUUGGUGGACAAAGUGAUUCAUUGUGUUCACCAGAGUUCUGUUUUAUUCUCCGACUUCAUCCAGGACACUGACCAUGGACUCUUCCCUCCAGGGUUGUGGAGCUCACUCGGACAACCUCACAAUCCAAAAUCCAGGAUGGAAGCUUGCCAUCACAUCUCCUUCCUUGAAUUACUAGCAGUUGAGAAGGUCUUCCGGGCAUUUGAACGUUCUUUAAGAGGACACAUGGUCAAAAUCCUCACGGACAAUACGACAAUGAAAUUCUAUAUCAACAAACAAUGGGGAAUAUACUCCCUUUCACUUCUGGUUCUCACGCGCUACAUCUGGAACUAGUGUACCCCAGGGGUACACCAGUUCCCGUUGCCUUUCACCUCCCGGGAGAGGUGAACAUUCUGGCCUACUAUCUGAGUAGAACUCACACCAAUCACAAGUGGUGCUUCAACCCUGACAAGGUCCUCUCUGUUUUCCAGCUCUGGGGCAUUCUUGAAGUGGACCUUUUUGCUCCACCGGACAAUGCUCACUGCCAUCACUUCUGUGCAUGGUUAUCCCAGGGACAGGUGCACAGCUACCUCGGGAAUGUGUUUCUUUUUACAUGGCACCCCGCCUUCCUAUACGCAUUUCCACUGAUUACUCUUUUGACACAAAGUGUGUCCAAAAUUUGGACAAAUGACCCAAACUGCAUCCUGAUCACCCCUUGGUGGCCUCGACAGGCCAAGUUCAUCCACUUUCUUGAAGCAUCACACAGCGAGUUCAUCUACCUUCAAAGUCAAUUGGACCUCCUGACCUCCCAAGGGGUCAGGUCCAUGAUCUGGACGUACAGUGCCUGCGUCUUACAAUCUGGUGGAUAUGUUCCAACAUCUCUUUCAGCCCAUAAAGGCCAUCAUUGACUUGGCCCAGAGGGCUUGCACCAAGCGUUCUUAUGUUUAUAAAUGGAAUCAUUUCAUCACCUUUCUAAAUGGGAAAAGGACUGAGUCGCUAAUUGCCACCACUCCAGUGAUUUUGGACUUCCUGGUUUCCCUGUUGGACACUGGGCUCUCUUUCUCCUCCCUAAAAUGUUACUUGGUAGCAAUUUUAUGGUACAGGAGAAAGGCCAGUCACCCUUCCUGCUUCUCUGACCCUCUGGUUCAACUCUUCCUUAAGGUUUACAAGAACGCACAACCUCCCACGCCAGCCUGGAGUCUGGAAGUUGUACUCUCACAUUUGUCCAACCUGCCAUUCAAACCCCAAUCCUUGGCGGACAUAUUUUGGAAGACAGCCUUUCUCAUUGCUAUCACCUCCGCAUCAUGGGUGAGCGAGCUGUGUGCCCUUCACAUGGAUGAACCAUAGCUAUGUUUCCACAAAGAUAAGGUUGUGCUUCGUACUGAUAUUGUAGUUCUACCCAAAGUUGCUUCAAAGUUCCACAUAUCACAGGACAUGGUAUUACUGGCUUUUUUCCAGAAUCCAUCCUCUCCUCUGGAACAAUCCCUUCAACCUUCUAGAUGUCCAAAGAGCCUUGGCUUUUUAUAUAUGUCUGGGCACAGAAAGUCCCCCAAACCUUUUCUCAAAUAUCAGAAGGAUGCCAAUGGUCUUCUGGUGUUCCCCCAACAGCUGUCCUCAUGGAUUGUGUCCACUAUCUCUUUGACUUACCAACUGACAGAUCGUGACUUACUUCCACAAAUCAAGAGCCAUUCCACAAUGGCCGUGGCCACCUCCCAAUCUUCUCUGAGGGGUGUUCUGAGGGGACGUCUGAUGGGAGGUUGCCUGGUCUACCCCACUCUCCUUUGUUACCCAUAAAAAGGUGGAUACUCUUUCUAAGAAAGAUGCAGCCUUCCACAGAGUGGUUCUCUUCUCUUCGGUGUCAUGAGGCCCACCAUCCAAGGUUAGUAGUUUGCUAGUCUCCCAUAUAUGUGACACCACGAAGAAGGAAGGCUUGCUUACCUGUAACCAUUUUUCUUUGAGUGGUUAUCUGUGAAAUUCACACAUCCCUUCCCAUCCUCUCCACUACUUCAUAUGCCUCGGUCCCUAGUUGCUAUUCUGCUGCGGAGGAACUGAGGCGGUAGCCCCUCCCACUGGUUAUAUACAUCCAUGGGGAGUGUGGGCAGGGCUACUACCAAAAUGUAUCCUAGAGAGCUUCUAGAAGAUUCCAAACUGACUGCGCAGGCACAGAAAAUUCCAUAUGUGUGAAUUUCACAGAUGACCAGUUGAAGAAACAUGGUUACUGGUAAGCAACCCUUCUUUCUUGAUUCAACCAUUUAAUAAUGCAAAUGUAAAGCUUAUACCACCCAGAAACCUUGUAUGUAUUACAUAUCCCUCUGUCCCACAUAAUGGAGACAGUAAUUCCAUGAUAUAGCUUCUGUAAUCAGAAAUUAAUAACAGCGCCAGAGAGGUUCAAUAUCAAUUUAAGAUUCAUUGGUGAAAAUAAUUAAGACCAAAAUGGUAUAAUGUAAAAUUUAGAAACAAUACCAAUUUAUAACAGACAAAUGGGACCGUCGGACUUCUCAGGUAAAAUAACACUCACACCCUGAAUGAUUGAAUACCUUUGUGUAGAGAAAAGAUACUUGCUCUUGAUUUUGUGUAUUGCAGUUUACUACUAUUGCUAUUACAUUUUUUUUUAGUUUAUGUUGUUAACUGUUGCUUACAUUGACUGUUUCUCUUGCUGUAUUGAUUAUGGAUUUUAUAUCCUUUCAUGUAAGUUACCGUACUUAAAAACUCCUUAUGUGCUGGGAACUGACAUAUAAAUCUAAUAAAUGGAAUUAGAGAGUUGAAGGAAAGGGGCAAAAUGUUCACAGGGCAAACAGGAACACAGAUUUAGUAGGUGACUAUAUGCAGCAGCUACUGCAGCCUGGCAUUUUGUGUUUUUAUGAGAAGCCCAGCAGAAAUUCAGACUGGACCCUUAGGUUAGUUGCUUCAGAUUUCGAGCCCACUCAGGUCCCUUCUACACUGCCAUAUAAUCCAGAUUUUCAAAGCAGAUAAUUCACAUUAUCUCCUUUGAACUGGAUUCUAUGAGUCUACACUGCCAGGUAAUCCAGUUCAAAGCAGGUAAUCUAGAUUUUAUAUGGCAGUGUAGAAGGGGCCACAGAGGCUUGCGUUGGACAACAGAAUGGCUCAAAAUAAACCUGGAAGGAAAGUUACCGAUGUGCCUUCAGGGGAGUCACAUAAUACAGUUGGUCCUUUACAUUUGCAUUUAAAACAUUCGAUUAUUCGUGGAUUUUAUUCUAGGAAUCUCUAGGUCCUCUGUUAUAACUGUAUGGUCAACUUCUAUAACCACUGAAGUACGCUGAAGGAUAUAGAGUUUCCUAAAGAGAACACUUCUCUUGGCAUUUUAUAUGAUUCUGUGAUUAACUUCCUGUGGAAGUAAAAACUAGGUAAAAUAGCUAAAAUUGGUUUAAAAUUAGAGUUUUUAUUCACAGUUUUUCUCAGUUUCAUAAGAGUCUUGCAUACCUAACUUCAGUGAAAAUUUGCUGGAUGCAGUGACUCCUUGCAGGAAUAUCAGGAACAAGAAUUCUGUUCUGGCUUUCUAAUGAUGCUCAUCCUCAUAUGCAACUCCACCUUUCCACCAAAGUUGUCCAGCAUAAAAAACAUUUUGACUCUCUGAUCUUCUGUCUCUUCUGGUCCUGGAUGUUUAUUUGCUCUGGAAGGCUGUAGCCAAUGCCUGUAUGGUAGCUUUGCCUUAACAGAGACUCCCCAUUCUCAUUGUCCUAUCUGUCAGAGCUAAGAAAAGUUAUCUUUUUAGAUUACAACCCCUAAAAUUUCCCAGCCAGUGUGGCCACUAGACAGGAGAUUCUGGUAGUUGUAGUACAAAAGGUUAUCCCCCUUCACCCCCACCCCAGCCCCCACUUUCCACACUCAGCUUGACUGGUUUCACUGAAGGUGUCUGUGCAAAGCAUCAGAGAGCUCCAUCCACAUACUGGCAAAUUGUUGUUCAGACCAGCUGGUGUGAGCAGACGGCUCUGUAGCAGCAUCCAGGUUUGGCUGAGCUGUGCAAGCGUGGCAAAUGCCAGAUGCGCCAGGCAUGGCUGCAUUAGGAGAGCUUGUCAGUGUGAUGGCUGUGAUAUCACAUUGCUCAGCAUCCUCAUAUCACCAGAUACACCAGUCUUUUUCCAUGAAACCACAGAUUUCACCAAACUACGGAGCAAAUCUCAUGAUCAAACACAUUGAAAUAUGGAACAAUGUAUAUUCUCCCAAGUAAUGAAUGGCCAUUUGACUUCUUUGCCUUACACACGCAGAUCUGGCGAUGAAAUCAUAUGGUUGUGGGGAGUGUCUUCUAAAAGAAUCAAAUGCCAGUGCUGCAGAAAUAAUCAGUAGAAUACAGUAGAAUAUUAAGAGGAUAGAUAUUGGUUAAUAAUCUUUUAUCAACUGGAGAUAAGAAGGAGCAAAUACAGACAGUCCCGAAGUUACAAACAGGAUAGGUUCUGUAAGUUGAAUGUGUAUGUAAGUUGAAACAGGUAUUUUAUUAAGUAUAACUCCAGUCAAAGGAGCCCCGGUGGUGAAGUGUGUUAAAGCACUGAGCUGCUGAACUUGCAGACCGAAAAGUCCCAGGUUCAAAUCCCGGAAGCGGAGUGAGCACCCGCUGUUGCUCCAGCUUCUGCCAACCUAGCAGUUCGAAAACAUGCCAAUUUGAGUAGAUCAAUAGGUACCGCUCCGGCAGGAAGGUAACAGCGCUCCAUGCAGUCAUGCCGGCUACUUGACCUUGGAGGUGUCUACGGACAACGCCGGAUCUUCGGCUUAGAGAUGGAGAUGAGCACCAACCCCCAGAGUCAGACAUGACUGGACUUAAUGUCAGGGGAAACCUUUACCUUAACUCCAGUCAAAAUAUAUGUGGUGUUUAUUUUGCUGUCUGUUUCCCCUGUUCAUCUCACUUUCUGUCCCUGUGAUAAUUGGAUUUUUUAAAAUUUAGCUUGUUAUGGAAAUAAGGAUUGGUGAUAAAGCUUCAGUUGAGAUAUCUUUUCCCCAUGAUAACCCUUUCAGGAGUUAAUUUCUCUCACUUCCUGUUGUCUCAUCCCUGUUUGUGAAUUUGUAAGUUAGAUAUUUGUAACUUGAGAACUGUCUGUAUUCCUCACAACAAAUCCCAAUGUGUUCAGCUCAUACUUUGUAAGAUGGUUUCGGGUUAUGGCCUUCCAGAUAUUGUUGGACUAAGGCCCCUUCUACACAGCUAUAUAAAAUCUACAUUGAACUGGAUUAUAUGGUAGUGUGGACUCAGAUAACUCAGUUCAAAGCAGAUAUUGUGGAUUAUCUGCCUUGAUAUUCUGCGUUAAAUGGCUGCAUGGAAGGGCUCAAAAACUGUGUGUCAGGAAGAGCUGAUGGUACUUGCAGUGAAACUAAAGGCUGUCCACCUCUAUUGGAACAUGAUUAGCGCCAUGCUUCUCAAAGCUCUGUUAAGCUUCAAAUUGUACUUCUCAUAGAUUGCUUAUUUAUUCAUGGGAAUUUCUGGCACAAAAUAUAUCUUGUAAACCAUGGGCUCUUCCACACUGCUCCUUUAUCCCAGGAUCUGAUCCCAGAUUAUCUGUUUAUCUCAGGUUAUCUAGCAGUGGGGACUAUUCCAGUUUAAAACAGAUAAUCUAGGAUCAGAUCCUGGGAUAAAGGGCAGUGUGGAAACACCCUGAGAUAAACCAAAAUAAGCUUUUCAAGAGCCGGGCUGCUGUAUCAAAGCAGAACUUUCAAGUUCCAGGAUUUAUGCUAUUCGAUAAAGCUGUAGCUAAGGAUGCUAGAGACUUUUAUUAGGAUUUAAAAUAAUGGGAAAAUCUCCUUUCCUAACUUUUGGAAGGAGAUGAUUUUGUCUGUUGAGACCACCAUGCUUAAAUUCUGCUUUCUUUACUCUCGUCCCCCCUCUGCCCCCACUGCAUGUAGCUAUCUGGUUUAUUUUAUUGUAUUUUUCUAUUGCGAGCCCUUUAAGGGAUGUGGACACUUAUGUGCAAUUCAAAUCUGCUGCUCUGAGUGGGAGAUAAAUCAGAAUAAACAAACCACUAAAUAAAAUAUGACAACAUGAGAGUGCUUUUGCUUAUAAUCGUUCUUGAAUUGUGUGGUAUGAAUGAGCCAGAUUAUUUGACACAGAUGUAUUGACUCUGCCUGUUGAGAGCAGGGGUGAAAGAAGGAGCUAGUGAAUAUUCUCAAAGUACCUACUGCAAUUCUUAAAGCAGAUCUGGCUCUGAGGCUGAGAAACUACUAAUACACAGAUCUUACUGCGGUAUGCCCCACUCAAUUCAGUUAGGCUUCCUCCCAGGUAGUUUGCUGUGGGACUGAACCCUAAAUUUGUUUAUGGCUGCAACCCUACUCAGUUUCCCUGGAUGGGUGUAUUCCAAAUGACAAUGAUAGCUAGGGAUGAUGAAAAUUGUAGUCUGACACGCCCG